rnacentral:tRNA from 1 species
UCCUGGUGGCUCAGAGGGUAAAACGUCUGCCUGCAAUGCAGGAGAUCCAGGUUCAAUUCCUGGGUCAAGAA